UUUCUAUAAUGUAGCCUUUAAUUUGUUGUGAUCAUUGUUUUAUACACAAAAUAAAUAAACCACAUAUUCAGUAAUACAAUUACAUUAAUAACCCCUCUAUGGACUGUACAUAUCUUUACAAAGGACAAAAAAACUCAUUGUCAUCAAUAAAAAUAUUUAUUGCAUUGUGUACGAAAUAUAGACAUUUUGGCAAAAUAAGUACUUUUUAUUAUAAAAAUACCAGUCUCAAUAAAAUAAUGAAUAAUAAUCAUAGCUGAAUAGAAAAAAAUAUUUUCAACAUUAAAAAAAAUCAAAAUUUUGUAUGGUGGUCAAACUUUCAAAAUGUAUAGGCUUUUUACAUACACCAUAUGAAUGUUUGCCCACCAUAAACACAGCAAUACCAUGUACAUGUAUUUAUAAUUUUUGACAAGUAUGAUCUCAACUGGUGAAGUGUUGUAGAAUCCUUAACAGACAAGAGGUCAAACAUUGAAUUAAAGACUCCAUUUUAAUAUUUUAAAAUUUUCACCUGGCCAAAUUCAACAUUACAUUAAAUUUUAAUACUUCUUAUGGAUUGAUAUCUGUAAAUUUGGUCUAUGAAAAACAAACUUUAAUGUAACAGCUAUAUUAUAACCUGGCAUUG
rnacentral:lncRNA from 1 species